rnacentral:rRNA from 1 species
AGCGGCGGACGGGUGAGUAACGCAUAGGAAUUUACCCGAUAGUGGGGGAUAACCUGGGGAAACUCAGGCUAAUACCGCAUACGUCCUACGGGAGAAAGGGGGCCUUGGCUCCCGCUAUCGGAUGAGCCUAUGCCGGAUUAGCUGGUUGGUGAGGUAAUGGCUCACCAAGGCGACGAUCCGUAGCUGGUCUGAGAGGAUGAUCAGCCACAUCGGGACUGAGACACGGCCCGAACUCCUACGGGAGGCAGCAGUGGGGAAUAUUGGACAAUGGGGGCAACCCUGAUCCAGCCAUGCCGCGUGUGUGAAGAAGGCCCUCGGGUUGUAAAGCACUUUCAGCGAGGAAGAA